GGCAGCAGUAGGGAAUCUUCGGCAAUGGAGGGAACUCUGACCGAGCAAUGCCGCGUGAAUGAAGAAGUACUUCGGUAUGUAAAGUUCUUUUAUUGGGGAAGAACGGCUAGUGGAAAAGCUAGAGUGACGGUACCCAUUGAAUAAGCCCCGGCUAACUAUGUGCCAGCAGCCGCGGUAAUACAUAGGGGGCAAGCGUUAUCCGGAAUUAUUGGGCAUAAAGGGUGCGUAGGCGGCAAGUUAAGUUUAAGGUAUAAGCUCAUGGCUCAACCAUGGGAGGCUUUAGAAACUGGCUAGCCAGAGUGCAGUAGAGGCAAGUGGAAUUCCAUGUGUAGCGGUAAAAUGCGUAAAUAUAUGGAGGAACACCAGUAGCGAAGGCGGCUUGCUGGGCCGUAACUGACGCUAAGGCACGAAAGCGUGGGGAGCAAACAGGAUUAGAUACCCUGGUAGUCCACGCCGUAAACGAUGAGUACUAAGUGU
rnacentral:rRNA from 1 species